AACUUAAUCUGUACUACCCUUCAUAUAUCCUCGAUGAUAUGGAUCGAAAGUCUCUACCGGGCCGCCGUAAAUGGCCUGACUAUGAAGGCAGUAAUUUCGGGA
rnacentral:ncRNA from 2 species